rnacentral:lncRNA from 1 species
CCUCCCUCCCCUUCUCUCUUUCCAUCCUUAUGACGUCACUACCGGUCCAGGCCUUCCUUCAUGUCAACCAGUUCCUCUCCAAAAUGGUAAGUUUCUCUUCUUCUCUGCUCGACCUCCAAUAUUAUUUUCCCAUCGAUAUUUUACAUAAAUUCAACUCAAACCAAUUACUCCAAAUAUUCUAAUUAAUUAUCAAACUUCAAUUAACCCCAAUCACGAAUAUUUCGCUCCUAAUUCAACAAAAACCUAUUCUUUUUCAGCAGUAAAUUCUCCAAUUUUCCCGAAACCGCUUCAAAUUGUUACACGUUGCAUAAAAACACACAGACACACACACACACGCCUUCUUUCAUGCAUCUCUGCCUUUAUAAUGUCCAUGAUAUCGAUGUUGAUGUUAUACUACACUAACCAACGUUAUUUCAAAAGAUUACGUGAUUUUAAUGUAAUCGUAGACGUUCCAGAAGUGGCCACCACGAUUUUUAUGCAGACAGCGGCGUAUCAAGCAUUGAAUGAAUGCAUCUUAUAAUACAAGUACGGUUGUUGCUUUGCCCUCCCCUUCACUCAUCGGGUCAGCUGUGGAUUAAGGAGACCCACGACCCAAAAGGCAUUCCAUCCAUGACCGUCCUGUUUUUAAGGAUAUGUUGCACUAUAUAUAAAUGUGGGAAUCGGAAGAAAUUUUCAAGGAAAUAAAUUGUAAAGAAGUGAAAAAGUUAUGGAGCGGGGUUAAAUGUUUCGAAACUCUGCCGGUGUGUGGUUCGAGUGAAGAUUUGUGUGCUAUUUCUAGCAGGUCGAGUGACCACGUAGACGCUCCGUUCUUUUACACGUAUACUAUUGUUGGCGAAUACGCAUACCUGGGUGUUUAGGGUUCUGAUUACGCUGAAAACGGGUGGUGUGCAUGUUCUUUACCUCCGCCCUAUUGUUGUUACAUAGCUCCAAGUCAGCCCCGAUCAAACCGACCCACAAUUUAAUGUCGUUCCAUCCGUGACCAUUCGUUAGAAAGAGAGAGGGCGGAUAUUAAGUUAGCCAGUGUUACUAUUUUUCAAGUUAGUAUAAGAUGUGAAUUGAAAAAGAUUUGGUCGCUAUUUCUAGUAUGUUGAAUGACUGCGUUGGCCGUUUAUUUGGUCCCACGUCACCUCUGGCACGACAGAGACGUUCCAGUUAAUGCCCACCAAGUGUUUUAUCCAAACUAUAUCUAAGAUUAGUACAUGUAAUGAAUCUCGUUUAACCCUUAAUCAGCCCCACGGAUCUUUUCGGUUUGAACGGCAGUUAUUUAAAAUAAUUUCCACGUAACUAAACACUUUUAAACUUCGUAUACUGGUAGAAUGUGUUUAUAAAACAUCUUUUUCUCUUGACUUUCAUGAGAAAAUUCUAUUGUUUGUAAGAUAUUUGGUGUUUUUUACUUCAAUUUUUGCAAUUUAAACCAAUCACUGACGUUCAUUGAGGUAAAAAACAUUCUGUACCGUAUGAAUAUGUCCCUCGUUUAAGAAACAGAUUGGGUUUAUUUACAUUUGUGAAGAAAACCAGAUACCCUUCCCCCCAACUCUAACUAACCCUAAAAUAGAUUGAAAUGCAAUAGAUCGAUACUAGGGUCAUAAUUAUGGGUGACAAUUUCAUAUGACACCGCUUGAAAAAACUGCCGUUCAAACCGAAAAGAUCACGGCCCCACUCCAACGAAAAUUGGACGAAAGACGCUCCAGCCACGACCACCAGGCUUUUAUUCAGACAUAAUAUACCUAGGACUAUGUUAUCGAAUGUGACCUUCCUUCCCAGGUUAACUUUGGUCAAGCUGACUUAUGAUCAAAGACAUCCUACCUGUGACCAACCUGCCUUUUUUUCUCAGACAUAGUUUAGUUUAGACUACAUUAUCAAACAUGUUCUGUUUUUUUUUUAAGACGGUUGUGUAAGUUUGAGGGCAAUUUGGCUGUUAUAUCUAGCAGCUGAGGUUUAUCAUCUGUAGUCUACCCUCUACUCGUGUAACAUCACUUUAUGUCCCCUUUUCCAUGCUGGCUUGGGUUGGACAGGUUUUUCUGAGACAAAAAAUUUGCUUUCAUUUCGCAGGUGCAGUGUGACUGGUAAGAUGCUUGCUUCUCAACCACACGGUUCCAGGUUCAGUCCUACUGUGUGGAUCCUUGAGAAAGUGUCUUCCUUGGGCUGACCAAAUCCUUGUGAGUGGAUUUGGUCGACUGAAAUUGAAAGAAGCCCAUCAGUUAUAUAUAUAUCAUCAUCAUUUAGCGUCCGCUUUCCAUGCUAGCAUGGGUUGGAUGGUUCAACUGGGGUCGGGGAAGCCAGAAGGCUGCACCAGGCCCAGUCUGAUCUGGCAAUGUUUCUACGGCUGGAUGCCCUUCCUAAACGCCAACCACUCUGUGAGUGUAGUGGGUGCUUUUUACAUGCCACCGGCACAGCUGCCAGACGGGGCUGGCAACGGCCACGAUUGGAUGGUGCUUUUUACGUGCCACCGGCACAGAGGCCCAUCAAUGUCAUUAUCAACAUCUGGCAUGGGUCAGACAGUUUGACCAGAGUUGGCAAGCUGGAGAGCUGCACCAAGCUCCAGUCCGAUUUGGCAUGGUUUCUACAGCUUUGUCCCCAACCACUGCUUGGCAACUGGUGCUGAUGUGUUAACAGCUCCAUAACUUAGCAGUUUGACAAAAGAGAAUGAUAAAAUAAGUACCGGGCUUAAAAGAAAAUAUAAGUACAGGGGUUGAUUCAUUCGGCUAAAAAUUCUUCAAGGCGAUGCCCCAGCAUGGCCACAGUCUGAUGACUGAAACAAAAGAAUAAAGGAUAUUACCAGAUACCUUUCCUGUCACCAAGCCUAUCAUUGCUUCUUUAUAACUCACAAAGACAUGGUGUUCUUAUCCUAAAAGCAAUUAUAUUCAUAUGAGGGGCAGAACUGGAAGGUUGCAUUGUAUGUUGUCUUACUCAGACGUAGUCUACUUAGCCUUACAUUAAGCAAUGUGACCUUCUUUUAUAAAAAGAUGAUAGGUGUGUAUUUGAGGAGAUUUUAGCUGGUAUUUCUAGCAGGUUUCUGCAUUUGUUUAUGCAAAUAUCUAAUACACGUGUGUAGAUGCAGGCAAGACUAUGGGGUUAAUAAGCCUGCUUUCCAAAUACAUGGUUCUGGGUACAGUCCCACUGUGUGGCACCUUGGGCAAGGGUCUUCUGCUAUAGCCCCAGGCUGACCAAAGCCUUGUGAGUAGAUUUGAUAGAAGCAAGCUAAAAUAUCCUGUCAUAUAUAUGCAUGCAUGUUUGUUUUUCUUUGAGUUUUAUUCAAAGCGAAGGGACUUCUCAUUGUUUGUAAAUAUGUGGUUGAAUUGAGUUUGAACUCUCAAUGCACACAGCUGUAUGUCUCUAUUUGGAGAAUCUUUGGAAUGUCUCACAGAUCUCCACUGUGCCACUUAUAGAUUGAAUUUGGAGAAUGAGCAUCAGUUUCUUAUUUUGUUCUUUCUUUAAAAAACAUGUAUUUCUAGGAUUUUGUGUAAAUUUGUAGAUGCAUAACCUAAUGCACCCCUGAUGAUAGGUACAAAUAAAAACUUAUUGCCAGGCUGCAAGGGCCGUAGGUUCCACAUUAGUUUGCUAUAAAUGUUCUCUUUUUUUCUGGAUGUUUGAUGGUACAUUUACAUCCGUUGGGCAGCUGACCAAUCAUUUUUACGUCCACUUUACAUACUGGCAUGAAAUGGACAGGUCAGGGUGCGGCUACUGCUGCUUGUUUGUUUGUUGAGCGAAUGGUCUUCGUCCCAGAGCUCGCAGUGGGAGAAGUCCGAAUCGUGGUGCUUUGCUAUUCGUAAAACCCGCAGAAGAGAAAGCAGGUCAACCCCCGACACCGAGAGCAUUGACGGAUGGAUGAAUGCGCAUCCAGGCUCAGCGGUUGUGUAGGAAGUCGGGGUCAAGAAACAGGAAGAAAGAGUGAGAGAAAGUUGGGGCGAAAGAGUACAACAGGGGUCGCCACCACCCCCUGCUGGAACCUCGUGGAGCUUUAGGUGUUUUUACUCAAUAAACACACAACGCCCGGCCUGGGAAUCGAAACCGCAAUCCUACAACUGCGAGUCCGCUGCCCUAACCACUGAGCCAUUGCGUCUCCUGCUACUGCUGCUCCCAACAGACAGAUGUUCAGGUGUGCCAUUUGGCCUGCUUUCUACAACUGGAUACCCUUACGGAGUGUACUGGAUGUGUUUUCUCAUGACACCUAUACUAGAGAGGUUGAUUAAAGGGAGCUCAUUCUCUGCUCAUUUGCCAACCACUUUACAUUGAAUUCUGGGUCCAUUUUUCUGACAGAAGUAUUAGAGAAAUUGUUCCACUCACUGGUCCCUUUUGAAUGGGGGCUGGAUUUAAAUCCUAAAUAUCAACCCUUUAGCAUUCAGUUUUCUCUGUCAAAUUCAAUGCUUAUUUAUUCACAUUGUUUUGGAUUAAUCCUGCAUUAUUUUAUAGCUUUGCAGUUUCAAUGAUGUGAUUGUUUAUUUUUAGAAUGGCAUUGUAGGAUAGGUGUGAGAGGCUGGAUCUGGCCAGUUUGAACAUAAAACAGGUUGAAUACCAUGGCUGGAUAUAACUGGUUUAAAUACUAAAGUGUUAAGUGUCAUAACUAAAUACCACCAUCAUCAUCAUUCAGCAUCCGCUUUCCAUGCUGGUAUGGGUUAGAUGGUUUGAGUGGAACUGGUUAGCUGGAGAGCUGUAACCAGCCACCAGUCUGGUUUGGUGUGGUUACUAAAGCUGGAUGGCCUUCAUAACGCCAACCACUCCAGGUGUGCAGUGGAUGCCUUUCACCUGUCACCAUCACAGGUGCUUUUUACAUGUCACCAGCACUGGUCAUGACUGAUUUCACCUGGCUUGGUGUCUCUUCUCAAACACAGCAAAUCACCAAAGGGUCUCGAUCACUUGUCAUCAUUUCUGUGAGACCCAACAUUUGAAGAUCAUGCUUCUGCUUCUGCAUCUCAUCUCUUCCUGGGUCUCCCUCGUCCACAGAUUCCUUCCACUGUAAACAGCUUCAUGGUGUGCUUUAUGAUCCAACAAAGGAGCUUCUACAUGGUUACUUGAUCUGCUAGAAAUUCCAACUAAAUCUCACUCAACUCUCAAGCAGCUUUAAAAAAAAAAUGAUGAGCAUCUAGGCUCGUGUAAUCUUCUAGAAUACAUUACUAUGUCUGAGGGAGGGGGGGAAUGCAGAAGUUAUGGUUGUGACUGGUGACCCUUUGCUCAUAGGCCUGCUUGAUCUACAUUGAUUUUGGACUAAACAGUAACAGCUUCUUAGAUUUGGUACUUGGUAUCUUCCUCAGUGACUGGUGUAGAGGCAUCGGUGAUCCGUAUCGGAGAUGGUAUGAUACAGCCAUUUUGGUACUGCCCAUUCAGCAUUUUUGAUUUGAUACUGAUUUAUUUGAUUGCAGACAUUUUAAUCAUCAUCGUUUAACGUCCGUUUUCCAUGCUAGCAUGGGUUGGACGGUUCAACUGGGGUCUGGGAAGCCAGAAGGCUGCACCAGACCCAGUCUGAUCUGGCAGUGUUUCUACAGCUGGAUGCCCUUCCUAACGCCAACCACUCUGUGAGUGUAGUGGGUGCUUUUUACAUGCCACCGGCACAGCUGCCAGACGGGGCUGGCAACGGCCACGAUCGGAUGGUGCUUUUUACGUGCCACCAGCACAGGUGCCAGAUGGGGCUGGCAAUGGCCACGAUUGGAUGGUGCUUUUUACAUGCCACCGGCACGGAGACCAGACGAGGCUGGCAAACGGCCAUGAUCGGAUGGUGCUUUUUACGUGCCACCGGCACAGAGGCCAGUUGGGGUGGCGCUGGCUACGGCCACAAUCGGAUGGUUCUCUUACAUGCCACCGGCACUGAUAUCACUACUACAAAUUCCAUUGAUGUUGAUCACUCUCUCUCUCUCUCUGGUAUGUGAGUGUAUUUCUCUUUAUGAGUAUGAUGAGAAGUGUUUGUUUCAAUCAUGUUCAGUUAAGACAUUGUAAUGUCUCACUCUCUCUUCCUCACACACACUCUCUACAUCUGUAUGUGUUUAUUCCUGUGUGUGUGUCUGUAUGUUUACCUCCAGUGCUAAAAAGUACCAGUGUUUAAAUAGCUGUGCUAAUCAUUUCAUUCCGGUCAGUGACGAGUGCCAAAAGGCCAAAAGAACUGCUCUAGAAAGAGCCUUUUGAUGCCAUUGCAGAGACAUCGAAAUUCUGACAGUAGCAGCAGUCAAUGAUUAUAGCCCAGCUAAUUAGAAAAAGUAUUAAUUGACUUAAAUGAGAUACAGUUUGGGUUUGUGCUAUGUUAGAACACCACUGAUGAGUGAGAUAAUUUUGGAGAAUUUCUCAGCCAAGAGCAAGCCACUAGCUUUUGUUGACCUAGAAGUGACCUUUGGUUGGAUUCCAUUUGUUUGUAGUCUUUGAGCUUACUAAGAAAACCAUUUGUAGAUGAAUGGUGAGAGCCAUGCAAGUCCUAAACAGGGUUGCUACCAGCAAGAUGAGAGCAAUGAGCAAAGGAAUUUGGAUGCAGGUUUUCAGCCCCAUCCAUCUCUAUAUAUGUAAACAGCAAAAUGUCUGUGUGCGUGUCCUUUAUACAAAUCCACAAUUUUUUAGUUAGAAGGCUCGCACUUUCUGUGGUCAUUCAAUACCAUCCAAGGGUGGUCGUGCACAUCUUUACAUCUCCCCAGUCACCCCGCAAAGCCAUUCAAAAAAUCAAUAGAAGUGACUUUUUUGUGAAUUUUCUAUCCAAAACCCAAUCAAAAUGCCCGAAACUUGAUACGCCAAUUGAAUGCCAGCUAGCUGUAUGUGAUUGGUCGGAGAUUUGGACAGUACUCGCGAGUAUGUGCGCACGCACGCAGAUGUAUAUGCAUGCACUAGCACUAUGACCCGGGUCAUAGUGCUAGUUUUAUUAUAAUUCUCUAAACCAGUGGUUCUCAACCAUAUUCUACCUGUGGAUCCCUUUCAAGCUUAUUUUACUCAGAUGGACUCUCACAACUAGUCCAUGUUUAAAUAAUGCUAUUUUAAUUUUUAAUUAUAUAUUACUAGGAAUUUUAUAAGAAAAUUAAAAUAUUUCGUGUAUUGUAGAAGCGUAACCAAUUUAUUGCACAUAAAUUUUAAUAACAAGAUCUUAUAGGGACCCACAAGCGUCAUACGGACACUGGUUAAGAACCACUGCUCUUGACUAUGAUUGCAGGUAAGCUCACCGUGAAGAAAGUUUACUGAGGAAAUAUAUCCAUAGUAUACUCUCUUUACUCUUUUACUUGUUUCAGUCAUGUGACUGUGGCCAUGCUGGAGCACCGCCUUUAGUCGAUCGCAUCGACCCCAGGAUUAAUUCUUUGUAAGCCUAGUACUUAUUUUAUCGGUCUCUUUUUUGCUGAACCGCUAAGUUAUGGGGACGUAAACACACCAGCAUCGGUUGUCAAGCAAUGUUGGGGGGACAAACACAGACACACAAACACGCACAUACAUAUAUAUAUAUAUAUAUAUAUAUAUAUAUACAUAUAUACGAGGGGCUUCUUUCAGUUUCCGUCUACCAAAUCCACUCACAAGGCUUUGGUCGGCCCGAGGCUAUAGUAGAAACACUUACCCAAGGUGCCACGCAGUGGGACUGAACCCGGAACCAUGUGGUUCGUAAGCAAGCUACUUACCACACAGCCACUCCUACGCCUAUCUCACCAUUAAGAGAUAAAAACUAUUUUAUUGGGGGAAAAAAACAGUGACUUGAUAACGGUGAACUUUCUAUGCAGUGAAUGGAUGACAAUGGGUUUCUUGGCCUUGCUUGAUGAUAAUUGAUUGGGUCUUCACCUAUGUGUGUUUGACUCAGAUGCUUUCAUAGUCAAAUUGGCCAGAUGAAAAGUUCCAAACAGAGGAGCGAAGAUCAGAACCAAAAGGUUUCAAGAAGUGGCACUGGUAAAGACAAAAGUCUUGGCAAGAAAAGCUCAGGAACUUUAUUGCCAUCUGAGAAGGGUUUCUAUUUGAAAUGCAGAGAAUACUGGUGUGUAGUACACUGAACUUGGAGAAAUUGUUGUGUGCUCCAUGCUGAGUGUCAGACAUCAUCAUCGUCGUCGUUGUUUAAUGUCCGCUUUCCAUGCUGGCAUGAGUUGGACGGUUUGACUGAAGCAACGGUCACGCUCGGAUGUGCUUUUAACGUUCCACUGGCACGAGUGCCAAUCACGCAGUCAUCAGCCACGUCAGCGAUUUUGAUUUCACUUGCCUCAAUAGGUCUUUGCAAACAAGGUUUAUUGUCCAAUGAACGAGGGGUAUUCAUAAGUGGGCUGGUUACACCCACUGGCAUAGGCUAUGGGUUAUGGUCUCACUUGCCUUGUCAGGUCUUCUCAAGCACAGCAUAUCUCGAAAGGUCUCGGUCAUAAGUCAUUGCUUCAGUAAGGCCCAAUGUUCAAAGGUCAUGCUUCACCACCUCAUCCCAGGUCUUCCUGGGUUUAUCUCUUCCACAGGUUCCCUCAACUGAUUAGGUGUGACACUUUUUCUCACAGCUGUCCUCAUUCAUUCACAACGCAUGACCAUAUCAGCGCAGUCAUCUCUCUUGCACACCACAUCUGAUGCUUCUUAAAUCCAACUUUUCUCUCUGAGCAUUUACACUGUCAUGUAUGCACACUGACAUUACACAUCCAGUGGAGCAUACUGGCUUCAUUCCUUGCAAGCUUACACAUGUCCUCAGCAGUCAUGGCCCAUGUUUCACUGCCACAUAGCAUGGCUGUUCGUACACAUGCAUCAUACAGUGUACCGUUUAUUCUGAGCGAGAGGCCCUUUGUCACCAGCAGAGGUAGGAGCUUUCUGAACUUUGCCCAGGCUAUUCUUAUUCUAGCAGCUACACACUUUCAGAGCAUCUACCCCGGCUACUGACUUGGUUUCCUAGGUAAUGGAAGCUAUCAACUAUUUGUAGUUUUUCUCCCUGGAAUAUGACAGAAGCUGUUCUCUGCACAUUUUCAGUGUUUAUAGCAUCUAAGCAUCUGCCACAGACAAAAACUAUCUUCCCAGUUAGCCUCCCUUUGAUAUUGCUGCACCUCUUAUGCGUCCAUAACUUACACUGGGUACAUCUUAUGGAGUUUCUACCUUAGCCUUUUCUACAGAUGCUGCUGAUAUUGACCUUUCUGACCUUGCAGUUUUCAGCUCUACUAUUUCUAAUUCUGUGGUUCUCAACUGGAGUUCAUGUGGCCCUUGGGGAUCCACAUAAAAUCUUGUUAAUAUUUAUCUCCAAUAAACCGGUUAUACGUCUACAACACACAAAAUAUUUUUAGCAAUUUUUUUACUUAAUUCCCAAUAACGUUUCAUUGUAAAAAUAUAAGUAUGGAAUGGUUAGGAGGGUCCAUCCAAGUAAAAUAAAAUCAAAAGGAGCCCAGGGCAAAAAAUGGUCGAGAACCAUUGGUCUAAUUCUUCAUUUGAUCCACCUACAACAGGUAGAUUGUCAUUGUACAGGAACCACCAUGGGCAGCCGGUGUUUGACUCCUCUGUUAUGUCUUGAAGAAUUAUGGUAAACAGGAGUGGGGGGCUGAGAACUGAGUCCUAAUGGACAUCUGCCUAUACACUAAAUUCCUCACUGAGCUGGUUAAUUAACUCCCAAUUUGCCAAUAACACCUCUGUAUAUGGCUUUCAGGGCUCUCAUUAGCCAUUUCCCUACCCAUCCAUUUCCUGAGUGACCAACAGAUUAUGGAACUGCAUCAAAGACCUUCUCUAGUGAGUUCUCUUGUAGCUGCCUUGCUUAAGAAGUGGGCAUUGAUGCUGUAGAACAUACAGUUUCCUGUACUUCAGAUCACUUCAUGGUCCCAGCAAACAAAAUGCAAACAGCUUUGCCCCAGGAGAUGGGACGAUCGAGAUGGCCUGGAACGGCCACUCCGUCUCACAGGACUGGCACUUCUUGAUGCUUUUAUGCUCAAGCACAAACACUUAUUGCAUCAGAUCUAUGAUGAACUUUCCUGUAAACUUCACACCCAAUUUCAUGGGCAUGGCUGUGUUGUAAGAAGCUUGCUUCUCAACCACAUGGUUCUAGGUUCAGUCCCACUGCAUGGCACCUUGGGCAAGUGUCUUCUACUAUAACCUCAGGCAAACCAAAGCCUUGUGAGUGGAUUUGGUAGAUGGAAACUGGAAGAAGACUGUCAUGUGUAUAUAUGUGUGUGUGUGUAUGUAUCUAUGUGUGUGUUUCUGUGUUUGUCCCUACCACCACUUGACAACUAGUGGUGGACUGUUUAUGUCCCUGUUACUUAGCAGUUCAGCAAAAGAGACCAAUAGAAUAAAUACUAGGCUUUAAAAAAAAGUACUGGGGUUGAUUCAUUUGACUAAAAAAAAUUCUUCAAGUCAGUGCCCCAGCAUGGCCACAAUAUCUAUUGCCUGGAACAAGUAAAAGAUAUAAGAUAAUCAUUAAGUUCACUGACUGCCAUUAUUUUGGUAACCACCCUUCAGGUUGGUUGUUGUGGGUUUUGUCUUGGCGCCAGCACUAAAGAGGUUGUCUUGUUCCCAUCGAACCUAAAAAGCCAUCACUACCCUAUCGUGUCUCUAUCUCCCCUAUUACUUGACAGAGUAUGCCGGGUUCAUUUCAUGUCGUUGGGCUAGAAAAGUUGUCAUGAGACUGAAGUUUUCUUUUGAUCUCACCUUAUUUCUAUCCAUUCUCCAACCACUGUACUGGGUUCAUUUUAUCAUAGCACCAGUUCUGUAUAGUAAACCAUUGAAUAUCAUCUAUGAUCUUGCAAACUAUACAGUGGUCCUCUAUUGUGCUUUUAUCUCUUAACACCUGGCACAGUGGUUACCUCACUCAACGCUGUACCCUCACCCUGUUAAAGGAUCUAGACUUGUGAGUUACUUGGUGUCCCUAUAAAAAAAACUCCCAUGACAGUGCCAUGUAGAAAGCACCCAGUACACUUUGUAAAUUGGUUAGCGCUAGGUAAGGCCUCCAGCCAUAGAAACCAUGCCAAAACAGGCAGGGUGCCCAGGCAGCUGACCAGCUCCUGUCAGCCCGUCCAACCCAUGCCAGUUUGGAAAAUGGGCAUUAAAGGAUGAUGAUGAUGAUGAUAUAAACACAUACUGACUAAACAGAACAAGAGAGGACAUGUGGGAUAGGGAACCACUGAAGGGGUCACAGGAUGUGUGACAAAAGAUUUCAGGCAAAGGACUCUGAAAUACGAACAACAAUAAAGCUGAAGUGAAAAUCAAGGCUGUAGUACCAUGGUUCCCAACCCUUUUACUUAAAUGAGUUUUCCCACAGACCCCUUUUAAUAUGCUCAUCCUUGUGGACCCCAGGUUGGAAACCCCUGAUACAGUAUAUAGUGCAUGUGUUUAUUUGAUGGGGAUAAAUGACAAUCUUGAAAUGUAACAAUAUGUGUUUCAACACACAAUUUCACAUCAGGAAUCUUGCAAAGCAAGCCUUUAUAAGGGUGAUAAUACCCAAGUUUUCUGCUGUUUUAAUGAGAAGACUGCAUUUGAAAUAUUACUUUCUUGCCUGUAUCGUACACUACUCGUUCAACGCUUGUAAAAAAAUGAAUAUAAGGUUGAUUAUAUACACAAAUGGUUGUUAUAUAUAGAUAUAUAAAUAUACAUAUAUAUAUAUAUAUAUAAUAUACAUAUAUAUAUAAAUAUAAAUAUAUAAAUAUAACUGACUUCUCGUUGACAACUAUGAUUGUCACACGCCGAUGAUAGGUCAAUACCUUGAAACUUGAGUCCGUGUGUAUCAUAAGUUGAAGACGGGAAGGAUGACUUCCCUUCACAAAUACUGAUAGGGCACAGAAAGUGUGUCUAUAGCCAGCUGGAGGAGGUGUCUUCCUGGGGCUACAAACUACAGUAGCAUCCACCCUUAGGGGUUAGCCAUAUUCAAAUGGCAAAUAUACGUCACGAUGUGUUGCCGCUACUGUUUAUAACUCGCUCUGAGAUUUAUCAUUGUUAAAUAAAUAUGUAUAUAAAUAUAAAUAAAUAUAUAUAUAUAUAUAUAUAUAUAUAUAUAUACAUAGUUUAAAUUUACAGAAAACAAAUGAUGAUGACAGGUGAGGGAACAACAAGCAGGUGUAUUAAUUUGACGCUUGGGAAGAAUUGAAAAGUCUUUGACAUUUCGAACCUGUGCUCUUCGACAGAAAGGGUUCAGAGGUAAAAAAUUGUGUUGGGAUUAAUGGUUCAACAUGAUGGGAUGACCGGAAGAAAGAGGCUGAGUGAAAGGGAGAUAACAACGGUGACCCGGCUGAACUAGGGUCUGCAAGCACGUUUGUGUAUGAGCGAAUGAGGGUGAGCAUGUGUGAAUGUUUGUGUGGGCAAGCUUAAAAUUAUGUGGACCCGCGUGUGUGUGGGUAUGGGAGCAUGUGUGUAUGUGCAUGUAUUUGUGUGUGUGUAUGUGCAUAUGAACAUGUGUGUAUGUGUGUGAAGCUUUCCUUCUAGUGUGUGUUAGUGCAUGGUGUGUGUAUGAGCUUUUGAUAGUUUCUUGCGUUCGAGACAAGGGUCCAUGCAGGUUUUUAUAACAUGCAGGAGUGGCCGUGUGGUAAGUAGCUUGCUAACCAACCACAUGGUUCCGGGUUCAGUCCCACUGCGUGGCAUCUUGGGCAAGUGUCUUCUGCUAUAGCCCUGGGCCGACCAAUGCCUUGUGAGUGGAUUUGGUAGCUGGAAACUGAAAGAAGCCUGUUGUAUAUGUAUAUAUGUUUGUCCCCCCCAACAUCGCUUGACAACCGAUGCUGGUGCGUUUACGUCCCCAUCACUUAGCGGUUCGGCAAAAGAGAACGAUAGAAUAAGUACUAGGCUUACAAAGAAUAAGUCCUGGGGUUGAUUUGCUCGACUAAAGUGGUGCUCCAGCAUGGCCACAGUCAAAUGACUGAAACAAGUAAAAGAGUAAAGAGAGAGUAUGCCUUGUCUCCAAUUUUUGAUAUCUUGGCAUCUGAAGCAGCUGGAGAUACAAUAGUUUGACCGAAAGAACUGGCUGCAAGCAAAAAUGUUUGAAUUGCAUAAUAGUGGUUUUUCUCUAAUUUAUAUAUUAUAUUGUAUAUUUAUAUUGUGAAAUUUGAUUUAAUACUAAAUUGAAUUUUUCCCUUUAAAUUUGGAGUUAUACUCCCUAUUAUUAUUAUAUAUAUAUGUGUGUGUGUGUGUGUGUUGGCAUUAGGAAGGGCAUACAGCUGUAGAAACACUGCCAAAUCAGACUGGAGCCUGGUGCAGCCUACAUGGCUUCCAGUCCCUGGUCGAACCAUCCAACCCAUGGAAAAUGGACGUUAAAUGAUGAUGUGUGUAUAUAUAUAUAUGUGUGUGUGUAUUAUAUAUAUAUAUAUAUAUAUAUAUACCAAUUAAGGACUGAACACGAAAAGUGGACAGUCAACAUGCUAGAUAUAGACGUCAAAUCGCCAUUCUCCACAAAAGAUUAUGUUCUCUUGAUCUGAGAACAUAAUCUUUUGUGGAGAAUGGCGAUUUGACGUCUAUAUCUAGCAUGUUGACUGUCCACUUUUCGUGUUCAGUCCUUAAUUGGUAUAUAUAAAUAUUUUAAUCUUCGGAUUCUUUUUUUAAUAUGCUAGACCACUGGUUCUAAUUGAUAAAUAUCAAUUUCUACCCUAAAUUAAUUUUAUAUUAUAUAUAUAUGAAGGCGCAUGGCUCAGUGGUUAGAGCGUCGAGCUUACGAUCGUGAGGUUGUGAGCUCGAAUCCCGGACCGGGCUGCGUGUUGUGUUCUUGAGCAAAACACUUUAUUUCACGUUGCUCCAGUUCACUCAGCUGUAGAAAUGAGUUGCGACGUCACUGGUGCCAAGCUGUAUCGACCUUUGUCUUUCCCUUGGAUAACACUGGUGGCGUGGAGAGGGGAGGCCGGUAUGCAUGGGCGACUGCUGGUCUUCCAUAAACAACCUUGCCCGGACUUGUGUCUAGGAGGGUAACUUUCUAGGUGCAAUCCCAUGGUCAUUCAUGACCGAAGGGGGUCUUUAUAUAUAUAUAUAUAUGUGUGUGUAUGUAUAUAUAUAUCAUCAUCAUUGUUUAACAUCCGUUAAAAGGAACUUCUUUCACGGGUUCCUUCCACUGUUAGGAUGUGACACUUCUUCACACAGCUCUCCUCAUCCAUUCUCACCACAUGACCAUACCAGCACAGUCGUCUCUCUUGCACACCACAUCUGAUGCUUCUUAUGACCAACAUUUCCCUCAGGACGCUUACACUCUGUCGUGUGUGCACAUUGACAUAACACAUUCAACGGAUCGUACCAAGUUCACUUCUUCUAAGCCUUCGCCUGUCCUCAACAGUCAUGGCCCAUGUUUCACUGCCAUGUAGCGUGGCUGUUUGCACACAUGCAUCAUGCAGUCUACCUUUAACUCUGACUGAGAGGACCUUUGUUACCAGCAGAGUUAGGAGGUUUCUGAACUUUGCCCAGGUUAUUCUUAUUCUAGUGGCAAUACUCUCAGAGCAUUCCCCCCCACCCACUACAGACUUGGUCACCUGGGUAGCAGAAGCUAUCAACUACUUGUUUAUACUUCCAGUACUGAAGAGUAGUGAUAUAUACAUAUUAAUAUAUAUUACAAAUAAGGAAAUGGAGAAGCACAUUAGUUGGUUCAUCAGCAUUAGGAUAUUAAAAUGUUGAUUUAUAUAUGUGUAUAUAUAUAUCAAAUAUAAAUUAAAAACGGAACACAAAGGAUAUCGCAGUACACGUGUUUCAAGUUAUAUAUAUAUAUAUAUACACACACACACAGACACAUAUAUAUACAUCUAUACAUUUAAAUCUAUAUAUAUACAUAUAUGUACAUACAUACAUAUAUAUGUACACUUAUAUAAUGCAUACAUGAAUCUAUACAUAUAAUAUACAUACAUAUAUAUAUACACACACAUAUAUAUGCAUAUAAGUCUAUACAUACACAUAUAUACAUAUGCAUCUAUAUGUAUACAUGUAUACAUCUAUGAGGGACGUUCAAUAAGUAAUGCCUCUGACCCACUUGCAGUUGUUUGAUCUAGCUGAAAUUUUGCAUGUGCAAUCAUUUAUAUCUCUAUAGAGUAAGUGGCAAAUUACAGCUCUGAAUUAAUUGUGGUUUCUGAUUUACAGGUGUUUGAACCGAGUCAAGUGUGAAAUGGAGCCUGUUGAGUGUCGAGCAGUGAUCCGGUUUUUGUAUUUGAAAGGACGCACACCACGGGAGACUUUUGAUGAAAUGAAAGUAACUUAUGGUGAUGAUGCCCCAUCAUAUGACCUUGUAAAACGCUGGCAUCGUGAAUUCAAACAUGGUCGGAACUCUGUGGAAACAGUUCCCAGAUCUGGUCACCCCUUCUGCCAUUGAUGAGGCAUCUGUCCAUCAAGUUGAGGCUGCCAUUUUGGAAGAUCGAUGCAUAAUUAUUUGCCAAAUAGCCCAUUAGGUCAAGAUUAGUACCGGGUCUGUGGAAACUAUCAUUCAUGACCAUUUGCAUAUGCAAAAGGUGUCUGCCAGAUGGAUUCCCAGGUUGCUCACGCCUUUCCAGAAGCAAGAACGCGUCGAGUGCUCGAGGGUGAAUUUGGAGAUGUGCCAAGAAGAUGAGUCAAAAUUUUUCAAAAGACUGAUCACACAGGAUGAAACCUGGGUCCAUCACGAUGAUGCAGAGACCAAAGCCCAGUCAAUGCAGUGGAAGCACCGUGACUCACCCCCUCCAAAGAAGGCAAGGGUGCAGCCCUCCGCUGGCAAGGUCAUGCUCACAGUUUUCUGGGACCAGGACGGAGUAGUGAUGACAGAUUUCCUGGCAAAGGGUACCACAAUUGCAGGAGCCUAUUAUGCUUCACUUUUGAGGAAAUUAAGAGAAGUUAUCAAAAUCAAGAGGCGGGGCAAGAUCAGCAAAGGCAUCCUCCUCCUGCAGGACAACGCUCCGGUCCACAACUCGCUUGUCGCCAGAUCAGAAGCACAGGCGUAUGGCUAUGAACUUCUCCCCAUCCCCCCUACUUUCCUGACCUUGCACCCUCUGAUUUUCACCUCUUCCCAAUCAUGAAGUUGUUUUUGAAAGGAAAGCGUUUCCCAGAUGAUGCAGCCAUGAUUUCUGAAGUCACGUUGAGGUUGGAGGACCAAGCUGGGUUCUUCUACAAAAACGGUCUCCAGAGCCGCAUCAAACGAUGGGAGGAAUGCGUAACUCUGGGUGGUUCCUAUUUAGAAAAAGACUAAUAACUGUGCCAAGUUUCGUUGCUCUACUGCUAUGGGAAGUGGGUCAGGGGCAUUACUUAUUGAACGCCCCUCAUAUAUAUAUAUAUAUAUAUAUAUAAAAUGCUAAACCUACGGAAACCUUCAGCGAUUAUAUUAUAAACACAUCAAAUCCUACAAUCUAUCUAUAUAAACAUUACGGGAAUUAAUAAUUUAUAUAUAUAUAUAUAUAUAUAUAUAUAUAUAUAUAUAUACAUACAUACAUACAUAUUCAUAUAUGAGGUGGUUUCACAAGGUUCCUGGACUAGUUUAAUAACUGGUACUUAUUCUAUCGGUUCUUUUUGCCAAACUGCUAAACUAUAGGGACAUAAACACACCAACACCUGUUUUCAAGCAACAGUGGGGGACAAACACAGACACAAAGAUGCACAUACCUAAAUAAUUAUCAUUACUAUUAGGUAAAAGUGUCGUAAGUCCAAAAUGUUGCUUUUUCAGAAAACAAAGAAAUAUUUUCACCAUUCCAUCAGAAAACUGUUGUUCUACAGUUUGACAAUUUUUGGUAUCUUGGCAUCUGAAGCAGCUGGAGAUACGAUAGUUUGACUGAAAGAACUGGUUAUUGCAAGCAAAAAUAAUAUUGAAAAAUAUGCAUUUGGCCAAAUUUCAACAUACCUCAGCUUAACAUAAUAGUAACGAUAUAUAUAUAUAUAUAUAUAUAUAUAUAUAUAUGUGUGUCAUCGUCAUCAUCGUUUAACAUCCGCUUUCCAUGCUAGCAUGGGUUGGACGAUUUGACUGAGGUCUGACAAACCAGACUCUAAUCUGAUCUGGCAGAGUUUCUACAGCUGGAUGUCCUUCCUAACGCCAACCACUCCGAGAGUGUAGUGGGUGCUUUUACGUGCCACCGGCACGAGGGCCAGUUUGGUGGUACUGGCAAUGGCCAUGCCCAAAUGGUGCUUUUUACGUGCCACCUGCACAGGAGCCAAUCCAGCGGCAUUGGCGACGACCUUGCUCGAAUGUUUCACGUGCCACCAGCACAAUUGCUGGUAAGGUGACGCGUUAAUGAUCGCACUCGAAUGGUGUGAUUAACGUGCCAUCGGCAUGGAGGCCAGCUUGUUGCUCUGGCAACGAUCUCACUCGUAUGGUACUCUUAGCGCUCCACUAGCAACGGAUGCCAGUCACCGAAUUUGAUUUCGACUUCGAUUUCACUUGCCUCAACUGGUCUUCACAAGCAGAGUUUAGCGUCCAAUGAAGGAAAGGCACGUACAAGUGGACUGGUUACACCCCUGGCAUAGGCCACAAGGUUACGGUCACACAUAAUAAAAAAGAGUAUGGAGACUUGUACUUUCAGAAAAUUUAUUUUAUAGGUGCCAAUUCCAUCCUUCAGUCUCAGAAGUUCUACCAUUCCUCUGACUUAGUCAUUUAAUGAAAAUCAAUGAGACUCCACCAUAUAUUGGAAUUUAUUUAAAUUCUACUUUGUCUUGUAAUUAGCCGACUCCGCCCUGUUUAGUAAUCAUGUGAAUUCCACCAUGUCUUAUAAUUAUGUAAACUCUGCUGUGUUCUUGUAACGAGCAAAUUUCACCUUUUACUGUAAUUAACAAACUCCUGCAAGUUUUGUAAUUUACGAACUGACCAUGUUUUGUAAUUAACCAGUUCCAUCAUGAUUUGUAAUUGAAUCAACUCACCAUUGUGUGUUUCUUCUUAUUUUUCAGACAACGCUGGAAUCAAUGAACCGUUUUGUCAGCCCUAUCAACCCCGCUGUCUUCCCCCAUUUGACGGUGGUGUUGUUGGGGAUUGGAAUCUUCUUCAUGGCUUGGUUCUUUGUGUAUCCUUUUGGUGAAUUGCAGAGAGCAGUGUCGUCGGUCGAUGGUUGUUGUGGCGGCAGUGGUUAGUGUGUCUCUCCGUAUUGACACAGGGUUAAAUGCUUUGCUGCUGUUAUUACUGUGAAUGUAUUGAUACAGUGUGGAGGUGCAUGGAUUAGUGGUUAGGGCAGUCACCUUGUGAUCAUAAGGUAGUGAGUUCAAUUCCUGGCGACACGUUGUGUCCUUGAGCAAGACACUUCAUUUCACGUUACUCCGAUCCAGUCAGCUGGCGAAAAUGAGUAGUACCUGUAUUUCAAAGGGCCAGCCUUGUCACACUCUGUGUCACACUGAAUCUCCCUGAGAACUAUGUUCAGGUAACGUGUGUUCGUUACACACGUAGUUCACUGAUUGAAGAGGGUGAGGACUCAUGUCUUAGUGGUUAGGUUGUUUGGCUCAUGGUUUUGAGUUCGAUUCUUGGCUGUGCAUUGUGACCUUGAGCAAGACACUUCAUUUCACGUUGCUUCAGUCCACUCAGCUGGCAAAAGCGAGUCAUACCUGUAAUUCAAAGGGACCAGCCUUGUCACACUCUGUGUCACGCUGAAUCUCCCUGAGAACUACAUUAGGGGUACAUGUGUCUGUGGAGUGCUCAGCCACUUGCACAUUAAUUCCAUGAGCAAGUUGAUCGGAUCAACUGGAACACUCAUCAUCGCAACCAACAGAGGGCCAGUUAGUUAUUGAUACAGUAUUAAAGGUGUGAAUGGUAUUGGUACAAUAUUAGUGAUGUGUUGGUGUUAUGGAUGUAGUUGUUUUACUCUUGGCUGUGUGGUAAGUAGCUUGCUUACCAACCACAUGGUUCCGGAUUCAGUCCCACUGCGUGGCACCUUGGGCAAGUGUCUUCUGCUAUAGCCUCAGGCCAACCAAUGCCUUGUGAGUGCAUUUGGUAGACGGAAACUGAAAGAAGCCUGUCAUGUAUGUAUGUAUAUAUAUAUGUAUGUAUGUGUUUGUGUGUCUGUACCCCUAGCAUUGCUUGACAACCGAUGCUGGUGUAUUUAUGUCCCCGUCACUUAGCGGUUCGGCAAAAGAGACCAAUAGAAUAAGUACUGGGCUUACAAAAGAAUAAGUCCCGGGGUCGAGUUGGUCGAUUAAAGGCGGUGCUCCAGCAUGGUCGCAGUCAAAUGACUGAAACAAGUAAAAGAGAAAGAGAGAGUAUUAGUGAUGUAGUGGUGUUACCGACAUGGCAGUUUUAGUACAGUAUUGGUUGAUGUGAUGGUAGACAGAGAUUUAGGGAUGUGAUGGUGUUACCAAACACCUGCCUGAAUGUAGUUGUCUCUUCUCCACCCAAACUACUCAAAACACACUGAAACAAUUUGCCUUAUCUGGGCUGGAUCUGGCUGUUUUAACCCUCUUAGCAUUCAGAUUACUCUGUCAUAUAUAAUCCUUGUUUAUUCACGCUGUUUUGGAUUAAUUGUGCAUUAUCUCAGAGCAUUGAGAUUUCAAUGAUAUCUUUGUAUGUUCUGAGAAUGAUAUUGUAGGGUGGGUAUGAAAGGCCAGAUCUUGACAGUUUGAACGUAAAACAAGUAGAAUGCUUGGCUUGGAAUGGAAUAUUUAACUCUUCAACUUAAUCGUGUCUCAUAGCUUUGAGCUUUCAAAGAUGAUGUGAUUGUUUAUUUGUAGAAAUAGACAUAAGUUUCAAUAAACUACCAAAUAUAAAUAUCCACACCACCACACCUGAACACCUGAAACGUACCUGUUAUAACUCUUUAUCUAGCUUUGAAUGUACGUGAAGGUAUUUAGAAUGCCCAAACUUAUUUCUGAAAAUGUGCUAAGCACUGAUGUUUAAUCAAUAAGGAUAGGGGCGAGGUUAAUGCAGUAAAAAUAGUGGGGGGUGGGUUGGUGGGGCCCCAUUUAAGUGGCCUUUCAGAAAUUGAACCGUUAUGUAAACCUCCUCAAGGAAUGUGAAGACGCAGGCUGGAAAGCAGAGCAUUUUCCAAUCGAAGUUGGAUGUAGAGGGUUCAUUGGACACAGUGUGAGACGACUGUUGUUAUCGUUAGGCCUAACUCACCGUAAAGUCAAUACCACCAUGACCGAUAUCCAAUCUACAGUGGAGAAGGCUAGCCACUGGAUUUGGUUAAAAAGAGACGAUGAACGAUGACUAGGAUAUUGAGCUUUAUUUGAUAACCAGCUGAUCUAGCAAGCGGGGCCUCAUAUCAGUGAGGGAGGGGGCGGUGCACAUUGAUGCCGUCGAGAGGUAGGCCCUGAAACGGCGCGCAUUCUCUCCUGACGACCCCAUACACUUGCUGGCUUCUGGUAUGCGGAGUUUUUGACUGGUAGCACUUGCAUGUGCAAGUUGUUUGCAAGACAUAUACUCCAUAGGAGUUCAUGGUAUGAAAUUCAUUGUCAUUGCUCCAAUUUGAUUGCCAAUGCCAUGUAUUUAGUUUAAAAUGCAGUAAAAGUAGGGGGUCAGUGGUGUCCCAAUUAGGCACCCUUAAAAAAACAGACACCCUGAGGACAUUCCCUGGGAUUAGGGGAGUUGCUGGUUUGAGUUUCGUUGUCCUUGCACCAACAGUCUAGGAGGAGGUAAACAUAAAAGCAUAACGGACAGAGAAACAUCACUCAAGUUUAUAAUCGGAUGACAUUGUAGGUUUAGUAUAAGAGGCUUGAUCUGGCCAGUUUGAACAUAAGACAGAAUAUUUAGGGUGGAAUUGGCUGGUUUAACCCUUUAGCAUUCAGAUUAUUCUGUCAAAUGGAUUUGAAUUAAUCCUGCUUUAUCUCGUAGCAAUGGUGCGAUUAUUGUUUUCUUAGAAUGACAUUGUGGGGUGGGUGUGAAAGGCUGGAUCAGGCUGGUUUAAAAAUGAUACAGGUAGAAUUUUGGGGAGCUGGAUGUGGCCAGUUUAAACACUAAAGGGUUAAUUAAAAGAGAAGCAAACCUUAGUCAAAUUCUUCUAGGAUUCCCCAAUUUUCAAAGGUGAUGGUCACUUUGACCAGUUGUCACCAGGUGGGAUCUCUGAACAAACCACCCAAACAUCUUUCACACUGUCAAAAUUUGCUACAGUAUGGCCUACGUAAUUAACUCUCAUUUCACAAUUUAAUUUUUUAAAUUAACAAAUGCUUUUUCUUAGAUAAUUAUUGGAUUUUAAUGUAAUAGCUUUAUAAAACAAAUGCUAAAUAUCAGUUUUCUUCAAAUUAUGUUUUAAAAAUAUAUUUAAAUGGAAUUAAUUAAACUGUUUCAAUAUUUUGUAAAAGAUCAGAUAACAGUUUUAUUUUUGUCUUUUUUACGACCAUUUUUACAGAAAUUGUAAAUUUUCCUGUUAUAUUUCUCUGACAUAUUUUCUUACAAAUGUUUACAAGAAUAAUUUUCUCUGUUUUUCAAUCAUUUUUAUGAAAGAAAAACAUACGUAGAUAAUAUAAAAUGGUCCGCUACGUACAUAAAUACACACACACACAUAUAUAUAAACACACGUACAUACAUAAUAUAUAUAUAUAUAUAUAUGUAUACUCUUACUCUCUUACUCAUACUUGUUUCAGUCAUUUGACUGCGGCCAUGCUGGAGCACUGCCUUUAGUCGGGCAAAUCGACCCCAGGACUUAUUCUUUGUAAGCCCAGUACUUAUUCUAUCAGUCUCUUUUUGCUGAACCGCUAAGAUGUAUGUAUGUAUGUAUAUAUAUAUAUAUAUAUAUAUCAUCAUCAUCAUCAUCAUCAUCAUCAUUUAGCGUCCGUUUUCCAUGCUAGCAUGGGUUGGACGGUUCAACUGGGGUCUGGGGAGCCCGAAGGCUGCACCAGGCCAGUCAUCAUCAUCAUCAUCAUCGGACGUUAAACGAUGAUGAUGAUGAUGAUGAUAUAUAUAUAUAUAUAUAUAUAUAUACAUACAUACAUACAUACACACACAUACAUACAUACAUAAUAAUAAUAAUAUAUAUAUACACAUACACACACAUGCAUACAUAUGUAAUGUGUGUGUGUGUGUUUACAUAAAUAUACACACACACAUAUAUAUAAUUUAUACACAACAGUAAUGGUGGAUGUUCUUUCAAAUAUUAACAAUACUGUUUUAUUGCAGAUGAAUAUCUUUUUGUCUGUUUGUUGUUGUUUUUGCAAAGAAUUAUAUGAAGUGAGGAAACAAAUAAUCUACAGAAUAAUCAACCAUUUUAAUACAGAUAUUAAAUUUUUCUUUUUUUCUCUUCUGUGCCAACAUGGCUUAUAGAUAUUGAAGAUAUAAAAUAUAAUCAACAAUGGGUUUUUUUGGGGUGUUUUUUUUUUUAAAUUAAAAAAAUUUUUUUUUUUUUAUCCCUCGCUGAAAUAUAAUAGAACUGAACGAAAACAUUAACAUUUGUUUACAAAUGUAUUGUGAGCAAAAGAAUUGGUAUAUUUCAGUGGAAUAAAAGAUUAAAGUGAGGAAAUUUGAACAUUAAAAGCAAUCAGACAAUCCAUUAGUCUGACGGAGAUGGAAUUUCAUCAGUUUAUUCAUGAUGUUGACAAAAACCAAGUUUUUCACGGCAAAGAUCUGCAACACAAACAUCCGUGUGAAGAUGUCGUCAUCAUCAUCGUCAUCAUUUAGUGUCUCCCAUUUUACAAUUACAAGAGUCAGAGAGAAUUCUGUCUGACAGAAUUUUUACAAUCCGAUGUCCUUCCUGUCACCCACCUUCAUCUGUCCUCCAAGCAGGUGAUAUUUCCCCCAUGACCUAGACAUGUUUUUCAUGGAGGACUUGUAUGUUGUUGAUACACAUUCACAACCAUCAGGUGAUGUCUAGGGGAUACACGGACACACACACACACAUAUACAUAUACAAUGGACUUCUUUCAGUUUCCAUCUACCAGAUCCACUCACAAGGCUUUGGUUGGCCUGGGGCUAUAGUAGAAGAUACCUGUCCAAGGUACCACUCAGGGGGAAACCUACUACACAAUCUCUCAACACAACAAUUAACAAACCUCCUUCCCUCCAGAUAUCUACACCCCCAAAUAACAACCUGAACCCACCUAAACCACACAUAGAACUUCCCAACACAAGCCCCAUAUACAUAACACCACAUAUCUAUAAUUUCAUUAAAGACAUUUUUCUGAUAAUCUCCACAGAGACAGCUCAGUUUUUCAGCCAAUGAGGUGAGAUCUUGGGAGGGAAACCCUCAGAGGUUUUUAUACCUUGAAGUGGAGCCAAAAUCAAUAUCUGUUUAUCAAUUCUCAUUCUUCUGCCCAUCCUUUCUGCUCUCGUGAAGGUACAUAGUUUAGUAGUUAGGGUAGUUAGAUCACAAUUGCAAGGUCGGGAGUUUGAAAACUGGUGGUAUGUCAGUGUCCUUGAGCAAGACACUUUAUUUCACUUUAAAAAAGCACCAUCUGAACAUGGCCGAUGCCAGCGCCGCCCUGACUGGCUUCCAUGCCGGUGGUGCGUAAAAAACACCAAUCCGAUCGUGGCCGUUGCCAGCCUCGCCUGGCACGUAAAUAAGCAACCACUACACUCAGGGAGUGGUUGGCGUUAGGAAGGGCAUCCAACUGUAGAAACACUACCAGAUCAGACUGGAGCCUGGUGCAGCCUUCUGGCUUCCUAGAUCCCCGGUCGAACCAUCUAACCCAUGCUAGCAUGGAGAAUGGAUGUUAAACGAUGAUGAUUGCUCCAAUCCACUCAGCUGGCAAAAAUGAGCAGUGACUGUAUUUCGAAGGGGCCAGCCUUGUCACAUUCUGUGUCACGCUGAAUCUCUCUCAGAACUAUGUUAAAGGUAUGUGUGUCUGUGGAGUUCUCAGCCACUUUCACAUCAAUUGCACAAGCUGGCUCUCCCCACUGAUCAGAUCAACUGGAAUCUCCAUUGUCAUAACUGACAGAUUGCCAGUUAUUAUACAAAAACAUUAAGAUAUUAAUUAUUAUUUAAAAUUUAUAAGCGUAGGAGUGGCUGUGUGGUAAGUAGCUUGCUUACCAACCACAUGGUUCUGGGUUCAGUCCCACUGCGUGGCACCUUGGGCAAGUGUCUUCAACUAUAGCCUCGGGCCGACCAAAGCCUUGUGAGUGGACUUGGUAGACGGAAACUGAAAGAAGCCCAUCGUAUAUAUGUAUAUAUAUAUAUGUGCGUGUGUUUGUCCCCCCAACAUUGCUUGACAACCGAUGCUGGUGUGUUUGUCCCUGUCACUUAGCAGUUCAGCAAAAGAGACUGAUAGAAUAAGUACUGGGCUUACAAAGAAUAAGUCCCGGGGUCAAGUUGCUCGAUUAAAGGCGGUGCUCCAGCAUGGCCGCAGUCAAAUGACUGAAACAAGUAAAAGAGUAACUCUUUCUUUGUCUUAACAUUGGUUGCAAACUGCAAGCAAAUAUCAUUACAAAAUACUAUAAUGGAACAUUUCUAUAGUUUCUUUUAACCCUUCCACUGCUAAAUUGAAUUUCAUGAUUAUUCCAGUUGCAGUUUUAAAUAUCUACCAAAAUAUAUAGAAUUGGUAUUUUCUGCCAAGUUGUAUUGCUUCAGUGAACUUGACUCAUCUCAACAGAAAAUGGUUUUAAACAUGAUAUUCCUCAACAAAAAAUAGACUGAUAUAUAAAACUGAUUUCCAGAAUGAAAGGGUUAACUAUAUUUCCCUUUUACCUUUUAUUUGUUUCACUCAUUAGACUGUGGCCAUGCUGGAGCACCACCUUGAAGAAUUUUUUUGUCAUGCGAAUUAACUCUAGUACUUUUCUAGUCUCUUUUGCUGAAGUACUAAGUUAGCGGGAUGUAAACAUACCAACACCAGAUGUCAUGUGGUGGUGGUGGUGGGAACAGACACAAAGACACACCCACAUAUAUCUAUGACAGGCUUCUUUCAGUUUCCGUCUACCAGAUCCACUCACAAGGCAUUGGUUGGUCCAAGGCUAUUGAAGAAGACACUCGCCCAAUGUGUCAUGCAGUGGGACUGAACCCGGAACCAUGUGGUUGGGAAUCAAGCUUCUUACCACACAAUCAAACCUGUGCCUCACCAUCAUCGUCCUUUAACGUCCAUUUUCCAUGCUGGCAUGGGCUGGAUGGUUUGACCAGAGGUGGGAAGCUGCACUAGGUUCCAGUCUGAUUCGGCUCGGUCUCUAUGGCUGGAGGCCCUUCCUAAUGCCAUCCACUUUACCGAGUGUGCUGCAUGCUUUUCAUGUGACCCCAGUGCAGGACUCUUGAAGGCUAAUCCUCUUCACCCGGUGCGGAGUGACCUUAACACUUCUGCUGUGGAGAACAGUCAUCUAGAGCAGUGCUUUUCAAACUUUUUGCUGGAGCGGAACCCCAAGGAAACAUUCCACUGGCUCGAGGAACCCCUGUGCAAUAAUUUAAUAGUCUUCUGCACACAUAUCUGCACAGGAGAAUUAAAAAUUACUGCCGAUUUUAGCAGUUUUGUAACUUCUUGCGGAAUCCCUGGACUGUACUGGUGGAACCCUAAGGUUCCGCGGAACCCUGGUUGAAAACCACUGAUCUAGAGUAGAGCAAGGUGCCAGCUUUCCCCAGUCCUCUCGCAUCUCAUCUGAAAGGGUCAGCAUCCUGAGGUCGUCCUUCAGUACUUUGGCUUUUCUCUUUCUGGAUCUCCCUUUUUCCACAAGUUCCAUCCACUUUGAGUGAAUGACACUUCUUUAUGGAACUGUCGGCAUAAUUUGAUUUUUCUACAGAAGCCCCAAAAGACAUAACAUCAGCAUUUCAUGAUAAAACUUUUUUUUCCUUUUUUGAUAUUUACAUGAUAAAAUAAUUUAGCCAGUCUCUAACAGUUGCCAGAAUGCUGCCAGUUUUAUGCAGUCUCUGGAAGCUGGCACGCUUAACUCAGGAUAUAUGAGGAACAGUUAGGCGGAGGGACUGAAGCUACCUUUUCUGGCAUGCCCUUUCACAUCUCAAACAAAAACUCAAUGCUCCAAGUCCCCAGAGCAGUUCAUUCGUAGUGGCACUGGGAGCAGUGUUUCCCAACCAUUUUCCUUACCUAUGGAUCGCUUUUGAUGCCUCUUUUAUUCAGACUGAACCUCAUGGCCAUUUGAUGUUUAAAAAAAUCCUAUUAUAUUUUUAUACUUAAAGGAAUUAUAUAAAGAAUAUGUAAGGGAGAAAAUUGUCAAAGUAUUUUGUGUAUUGUAGGAAUAUAAGGAAUUUAUUGCACAUAAAUUUUAACAAUAAAAUCCUUUAUGGACUCCCAAGGGCCGUAAGGACCCUUGUUGAGCAUCACUGCACCAGAAAAAAGAAACAAAACAAGGCCUGUCCCCAAACUCUGGCUGGCAUUUUUUAACCCAGCAGCAUGUCUCCUGCAAGACCACUGUCCGAACUAUGGAAGAGAAUUCCAUGCAUUGCACAGAGCUUUAGUAAUCUUGUUUCCUACUCUACAGUUAAUCCUUCCAAAAUCCCCUGCCAAAAUUUUCAAAAUCCUCUUUUCCUCCACUUCAUAUCAAUGAGGUUUUUUUGAGGAAAAUGUCCUUUUGUCCCCCUAUUUUCCAUGCCAAGUCCACACUACACACACUAGGCAAACCUCCUACAGUUCUAUCCCCUUCCGACCUUCCAAGUGCACACACCAAGUGCUUCUGUUUACUUCAGAUCAACCAGGCCCCCAAACCUCAGUAAUAUUGCUUGCAAACCUAAAGCUAACCCUUAUAACUAAACGGUUCAAUUUCCUCCACUACAGGGAUCUCCUCGGAUAUUUAUGAACACACUUCAGUGUGUACCAUUCCAAGGAAGACCAUCAAUUCCUCAAACCAUGUCAACUAUUGCCUCAUAACAUCUCUCCCCUCUCUCUCUCUUUCUCUCUCUCUCUCUCUCUCUCUCUCUCUCUCUCGCUCUCUCUCUCUCUCUCUCUCUCUCUCUCUCUCUCUCUCUCUCUCUUUCAAUGAUCACCAGUAGUGGUUUUGUAAAAACAAUUCCCCUAGUGACAAACUUUCCUACAUCACUGACCAAUAGGCUCUACUUGAGAGAAAUUUGUUGAAAAUAGUUGUCACUCUUGACAUUAACAAAGCUUUUGACCAUGUCUCGUAUAUGAAUUUCUUAUCAAAACUGCCCACCAACAGGCUGCACCCAUUCCUUCUUAAAUUCAUAGUUUCCUUCAGAUCACACAACAUCAAAAAACAAAAACGAAAUAAAAUGUGAUGAGGUUAACUCUGUAAUACAGUACUUUUCAAACUUUUUGCUGGAGCAGAACCCCAAGGAAACAUUCCACUGGCUCGAGGAACCCCUGUACAAUAAUUUAAUAGUCUUAUGCACACAUAUCUGCACAGGAGAAUUAAAAAUUACUGCUGAUUUUAGCAGUUUUGUGACUUCUUGCAGAACCCCUGGACUGUGCUGGCGGAACCCUGUUUGAAAACCACUGCUGUAUAUAGGAUAAAUCAAAUGGCUAAAGUUAUCUCCCUUCAUAUCUGUUCUUCCAUAGAUUCACUUCAGAUGAAAAUCUCCAAGAAAACAGUUAUUCCUCAAACCACUUUUUUUUGCUGUCUUCUCUGCACAACAAAUACAAAUUUAACAAAUCUAAAUCUCUCAUGUAUCAAGCUUCAGAAAUUAAAUUUCAGCUCCUGGCUCUUGCUACGUGUGUAUCGUUCCUUAACUUGGCAUCAGAUAUGAAGUCACAUCAACCAAAUUCUCACGAGAUAUCUACAAAGAGCUUCUGGUAUCAUUAUUUGCCUCUGUUUUCAUGGGUUUUGGUGUUUUGUUCCUGUUACUCUGGGUCGGAAUAUAUGUAUGACAUUUGGACAGGUAAGAAUCAGUGUUUUUUUACCUGCUUCCAUUCACUUCACCCUUUUCAUACCAACCUGUGCUAAGACUCUCUCGCUGCUUCUAACGAUGCAAAUUCACCAUUGUAAUCUAAAUUAAAACCUUUCAUUGAAACUUCUUGCUAAUAUAUUUUCAAAAUCAGUCGAAACAAAGACAUUAUAUUUCAAUGGACAUAUGGUAACAAAAGCGUUACUAGUUUAUAUUCAAUUUUUUUUUACUAUAAUAAAUAAUUUGUUUAUUUCACAGUUUAGGCUGAAUGACUCUUGUUUUCAGUUUUUUACAUCAGUUUUUGUCUUAUUCAAUAAUAUAAUUAGACACACACAUAUAUACAUUUCAAAAAUCAGAUUUACUUCUGUUUUUUUUCAUGCUGGCAUGGGUUGGAAGGGUUGUCAUAUUUGUAAUAAUUUCUUAUUGAGAGUUUUCAUAGACUAAUACUUGAAGGUGUCAUUUAGCUUGGUUUCUACAGCUUCAUGCCCUUCCCAUCAUAAGUCACUUUACAGUGUGUACUGGGUGCAGAUUUAUACCAUGGACUCACCUGUUGUUUACAACAGGUGGAGGUUCUGCAGUUUUUUGCUGAACAACCUGCACAGGUGACUUGUCUAUAGUGAUCAAACGUAUGUGCUGUACAUCAGCUCACCUGCCUCCAUCAAAUAAACAUUGGCCAAACAGGUGCAUGGUGUACCACGUAUCAGGUGACAAAGUGAUCAAAGAGCAGCCUGAGGUGGUGAAGUGUCUUGCUCAAGAACACAAGGCACCACUUGAUCCAGAUAUUGAAAUCACAACCUUGCAAUUGCGAAUGCAGCACGCUUGACCACUAGGCCAUGCACCCUCACUUAUGUACAUACACUGCACUUUACAUUUUGUUUACUUGUUAUUGCACAUAUUGAAUCCUUCAAAUGUUUUCUCAUACAAAGAUCAUCAUCAUCAUCGUUUAACGUCCGUUUUCCGUGCUAGCACAGGUUGGACAGUUUGACCAGGGUCUUGGAAGCCAGGAGGCUGCACCAGGCUCCAGUCUGAUCUGGCAGUGUUUCUGCGACUGGAUGCCCUUUCUAACGCCAACCACUCCAUGAGUGUAGUGGGUGCUUUUUACAUGCCACCCGCACAGGUACCAGGGGAGGCUGGCAGCGGCCACGAUCGGUUGGUGCUUUUUACGUGCCACCGGCACAGAAUCCAGUCAAGGCGGCGCUGGCAUCGGCCACGUUUGGAUGGUGCUUUUUAUGUGCCACCGGCACAGGUAUCACAACUACUAUUUCCAUUUGAUAUUUAUUUCGAUAUUGAUGUACUUGACUCAAUAGGUUUCCUCACUCUUCAAAAACUAUAGAUACACCCAUACACAGAGUCUGGUUCCGCCUUCCAGCUUGCCAGCCCUGGUCAAACCGUCCAACCCAUUCCAGCAUGGACAAUGGACACUAAAUGAUGAUGAACGAUGCUGGUGCCAAGUAAAAAGCACCUGUUAUACUCUGUGAAGUGGUUGGCAUUAGGAAGAUAAUCCAGCUGUAAAAACCUUGCCAAAACAGACCAUGGAACUUAAUGUGGCCCCUGGCCUUGCCAGUUCCUCUCAAGCCAUCCAACCCAUGCCAGCAUGGAAAAACGGACAUUAAAUGUUGAUAAUGAUGAUGAUGAUUAUUAUAUAGAUGUAUAUAAUAAAUGUUUCCACAUACCACAAUGUGUGCAUACAUACAUUUUCUUUUUUAUUUACUUAUUUUGAUAAAUAAUGGUUUGUUUUAUAUUUCCAGAGAUCAUUCUGAUGGAUGGCUGAUAGACUGGAGUGAAAAACAUUCAACAAAAUUCAUUCAAUAAAAUCUAUACUGUUUCUACAUAC